rnacentral:misc_RNA from 1 species
AACGCACCUUGCGCCCUUUGGUAUUCCGAAGGGCAUGCCUGUUUGAGUGUCAUGAAAACCUCAUCCCAUCGGGUUUCCGAUGACGAUGGAUCUGGGUGUUGCCGUCCUGGCUCGCCUUAAAAGUGUUAGCGGUUCCGAGGUCGAAUCUGGCGUAAUAAGUUUCGCUGGCCAAGACCGGAGGCUGCUCAUAACCCGUCUUCUGACAUUUUUGCUCUGACCUCAAAUCAGGUAGGACUACCCGCUGAACUUAA